UGUAAGUUGGAGUGAAUACCGAGAGUUCUACAAUACCCCAGAAGCUAACAAAGAUUAUCUGCAGUACAGGGAAUCGAUUGUGUAGAAUCUUAAGGUUUGCGUGGUGCAACAAUAAGCUGCUCCAAGUUUAAAACUCUGCUCAGUUUUAUUUUAUUUUAUUCGGAACUAACAACCAUUUGGUCUCUUGACAGUGGUUUGAAGAUGAUGUUCUCAAAGGCUAUAUUCAGGGGCCUGGCUUCCGUAAUAGAUCUUUGUGCCAAGCAAUUAGGAUUGCUGCUAGGUUCCCGAACAUUGAUCUGAGGCUAGCAUAUCAUGGCAUCGAGGAGUAUAUACAGAGCACACACUUAGUGAAAGAUCUUGCUUGUUUAUUUUCUGAGAUCUGGAAACUGGUUAAUGGUCAUGAUCAGGACAAUGUACAGAUGUGUUUCAGUGAUGCGCUGGAGCAUGUUUAUGAUGAAAAUCGGUAUCCAUUACGCAAACGUAAUUUGAACAACGAGUUGAGGUACACUGGUGGUUUGAACCUGCAGGAACUAGUAGUUUUUUUUUCUUUUCCUUUCUUACACUUCCGCUUUGUGUUUUCAUUGGACAAUUAGUAUACCUCUUACGUUGCAAACUGCUUCAAUCAUCUUUCCUUGUAGUUUCGGCAGUGCACGCAGGGUAUCAGUAAGGAAGUUCCGGAUUCGAUAGCUCUUGAGUUAAUUUCCUGGGAAGUUAGGUUCAAGUGUGACCUGCCAAAGACAUAUGUGCAGUAUGCCAGAAAGAAGCUCAAGAUUGCAGAAACCAUAGGAUUGAUUCCCAAGGCCAAGAUAUUCGCGUAGUUGUUUGUUGCUUGUUGGCGUGGUGGUCAUUUGGAAUAAGUUUCAGAAAAUAAACUGUAAUAUUCCAGGGUAGCUACUGCAUCUAUGGUUAAACGCC